rnacentral:lncRNA from 1 species
CCGAACCACCGGUCGGCCCCUGCACCAGGUGCAGUUUCCGCCAUCGCCAUCGCCGAUUCCCGCGUGGGCAGCCGGAUCAUCUUCGGGCCCGAUCUAUACCCCGGCACCGGAACACCCGGCGCCCUCUCUGCCGUUCGAGCGGUCCUCCAGCUCGGCGCCCUACGCUCCGCAGUUUCCCGACCCGGCGUACGCGAUGCCACCGACAGCCGCGGCUACCGGACACGGCGGUCCGACAUCUCCUCGGUUCGCUAAGCUAAACUUCACCACUUA